rnacentral:lncRNA from 1 species
UGUUAUCUUAUUUCACUCAUGGGGUAGAGAAUAUGGGAUCAGAUGAAAAACUGAAGGUGGUGUUCCAUUCUUUGUCUCUACAACAAUACAAUCUUACAUUCAAUACAUUCAUUCAUCAGCAAACAAAUUCCCACAAAACAAAAUUUCUUGCCGGUGCUUGGCACACGGUUGGAGGCAUGGGGAGGGGAUCUCACCAGAUGAUGAGUUCCUGCCGGAGGAGGGGAUACGAUGAGGGGAGCAAGGGUUAGGCGACUCUAUCUGGCCAUAAGGAGUCGCCGUUGCCG